CGCGUAGGCGGUCUUUUAAGUCAGAUGUGAAAGCCCGGGGCUCAACCCCGGAAGUGCAUUUGAAACUAAGGGACUUGAGUAUGGGAGAGGGAAGUGGAAUUCCUGGUGUAGAGGUGAAAUUCGUAGAUAUCAGGAGGAACACCGGUGGCGAAGGCGACUUCCUGGACCAAUACUGACGCUGAGGCGCGAAGGCGUGGGGAGCAAACA
rnacentral:rRNA from 1 species